rnacentral:rRNA from 1 species
GAUGAACGCUGGCGGCGUGCUUAAUACAUGCAAGUCGAGCGAACGGACGAGAAGCUUGCUUCUCUGAUGUUAGCGGCGGACGGGUGAGUAACACGUGGAUAACCUACCUAUAAGACUGGGAUAAUUUCGGGAAACCGGAGCUAAUACGGGAUGAUAUUUUGAACCGCAUGGGUCAAAAGUGAAAGACGGUCUUGCUGUCACUUAUAGAUGGAUCCGCGCUGCAUUAGCUAGUUGGUAAGGUAACGGCUUACCAAGGCAACGAUGCAUAGCCGACCUGAGAGGGGGAUCGGCCACACGGGAGCGUGACCGCGGUCCUGACUCCUACGGGAGGCAGCAGUAGGGAAUCUGCCGCAAUGGGCGAAAGCCUGACGGAGCAACGCCGCGUGAGUGGUGAAGGUCUUCGGAGCGUAAAACUCUGUUAUUAGGUAAGAACAUAUGUGUAAGUAACUGUGCACAUCUUGACGGUACCUAAUCAGAAAGCCACGGCUAACUACGUG